CCUACGGGUGGCAGCAGUGAGGAAUAUUGGUCAAUGGACGAGAGUCUGAACCAGCCAAGUAGCGUGAAGGAUGACUACCCUAUGGGUUGUAAACUUCUUUUAUAUGGGAAUAAAAUGUUCCACGUGUGGGAUUUUGUAUGUACCAUAUGAAUAAGGAUCGGCUAACUCCGUGCCAGCAGCCGCGGUAAUACGGAGGAUCCGAGCGUUAUCCGGAUUUAUUGGGUUUAAAGGGAGCGUAGGUGGAUUGUUAAGUCAGUUGUGAAAGUUUGCGGCUCAACCGUAAAAUUGCAGUUGAAACUGGCAGUCGUGAGUACAGUAGAGGUGGGCGGAAUGCGUGGUGUAGCGGUGAAAUGCUUAGAUAUCACGAAGAACUCCGAUUGCGAAGGCAGCUCACUGGACUGCAACUGACACUGAGGCUCGAAAGUGUGGGUAUCAAACAGGAUUAGAUACCCCUGUAGUC
rnacentral:rRNA from 1 species